AGACCCGAAACCCGGUGAUCUAGCCAUGGGCAGGUUGAAGGUUGGGUAACACUAACUGGAGGACCGAACCGACUAAUGUUGAAAAAUUAGCGGAUGACCUGUGGCUGGGGGUGAAAGGCCAAUCAAACCGGGAGAUAGCUGGUUCUCCCCGAAAGCUAUUUAGGUAGCGCCUCGUGAAUUCAUCUCCGGGGGUAGAGCACUGUUUCGGCUAGGGGGCCAUCCCGGCUUACCAACCCGAUGCAAACUGCGAAUACCGGAGAAUGUUAUCACGGGAGACACACGGCGGGUGCUAACGUCCGUCGUGAAGAGGGAAACAACCCAGACCGCCAGCUAAGGUCCCAAAGUCAUGGUUAAGUGGGAAACGAUGUGGGAAGGCCCAGACAGCCAGGAUGUUGGCUUAGAAGCAGCCAUCAUUUAAAGAAAGCGUAAUAGCUCACUGGUCGAGUCGGCCUGCGCGGAAGAUGUAACGGGGCUAAACCAUGCACCGAAGCUGCGGCAGCGACACUCAGGUGU
rnacentral:rRNA from 8 species